rnacentral:rRNA from 1 species
UAGGAUGAACGCUAGCGACAGGCCUAACACAUGCAAGUCGAGGGGCAGCACAAGGAGCAAUCUGAGGUGGCGGACUGGCGCACGGGUGAGUAACACGUAUGCAACCUGCCUGUAAGCGGGGAAUAACCCGUUGAAAGACGGACUAAUACCGCAUAAUACUAAAUUACUGCAUGGUAAUUUAUUUAAACAUUUAUGGCUUACAGAUGGGCAUGCGCAUGAUUAGCUAGUUGGAGAGGUAACGGCUCCCCAAGGCAACGAUCAUUAGGGGUUCUGAGAGGAAGGUCCCCCACACUGGUACUGAGACACGGACCAGACUCCUACGGGAGGCAGCAGUGAGGAAUAUUGGUCAAUGGACGAGAGUCUGAACCAGCCAAGUCGCGUGCAGGAAGAAUGUCCUUAAUGGAUUGUAAACUGCUUUUGCAGGGGAAUAAAGUGCAUCACGUGUGAUGUUUUGUAUGUACUCUGCGAAUAAGGAUCGGCUAACUCCGUGCCAGCAGCAGC